UACAGAGGUCCCAACCGUUGUUCGGAUUUAUUGGGCGUAAAGGGUGCGUAGGCGGCGGGGCAAGUCAGGUGUGAAAUCUCGGGGCUCAACCCCGAAACUGCACUUGAUACUGCCUUGCUUGAGUACUGGAGAGGAGACUGGAAUUUACGGUGUAGCAGUGAAAUGCGUAGAUAUCGUAAGGAAGACCAGUGGCGAAGGCGAAUCUCUGGACAGUUACUGACACUGAGGCACGAAGGCCAGGGGAGCAAACGGG
rnacentral:rRNA from 1 species